rnacentral:lncRNA from 1 species
UUCCGCGAAGGUAGAGGGUCAUCAGGGUUGUUCAUCGAUCAAAGGUGGAGGUCGCCGGAGAUAGUCGCGUGAAGGUGAGUUGUUGCCGGAGUUGGUCCUCGGCCAACGGUGCCUUCAAAUCUUCCGAGAAGGUGGAGGAUUACCGGAGUUGAUCGUCGGUCGGAGGUAAUGGUCGCCGGAGAUAGACACGUGAAGGUGAGUGGUCGCCGAGGUUCGUCGUCGGGGAUGGUGGACGUAUCGAAGUUUCUUUUGUCCAACAAAACUUUGCGGCUCUUGAACUAAUGAAGAUAUUAUAUAACCUUUAUACUAAAAAAGUCAAAAUUACUAAGAAUUUCUGACGAACUGGUUCAAAUUUUUUUAAUGGUCUCCAGGAAAUAUGUAUGAAAAUGUAAAAUUUUCAUCUAAUAUAAUUUUUUUUGUGUGUGUGAACUUUUUUCUUAAAUUUGAAUAAAACUUAUAUAUUUUUAGAUUAUUCUGGACCAUAAAAAAUAUAAAAUUUUGACUAAACAACAAAAAAAGUUAACUAAAAUAAAAAAAUUAAAAAUCAAAGCAUAUAAAAAAAAUUAACACAAUGCUAGGCCAAACUAAAUAUGCUCAAUAGUCAUGACUCGGGAUUAGGGAUGGCAACGGGGCGGGUUCGGCCUCCCCCACCCCCACCCCCACCCCGUUUAAUAAAUUCCUCUCCCACUCCCGCCCCGUUUAUGAAAACCCAACCCCCACCCCGUUUAAUAAUUUUUUUAAUUAUAUAUAUUUUUUAUAUAAUUAUUGAUAUAUAUAUAUAUAUAUAUAUAUAUAUUAAGGAUAUUAUAGUAUAUUUUUUAAAAAAUAUGGGUAAUUUUAAUUUUUUACACAUAAUCGGGUAAUUGGGGCGGGUUCGGGGUGGAGAAGACUAAACCCGCCCCCGUCCCGAUUAUUAAUCGGGUUUUGAUUUCCCCCCCCCACCCACCCCCCCCCCAGUUUAUUUCUCCUCUAUACCCGCCUUAAACGGGGCGGGGCGGGAAUCGAAUUUUUCGGUUCAAAUUGGCAUCUCUACUCGGGACCCCAAAAAAGAGGAAAAGAUUGCAUGAUGAACCAUGAUAUCAGGUAAUGAUCGGUUCUUCUUACUCACUAAUCCUCACCAACUCCAUCUGAUAAUGACAGCUGAAAUUACUAAAAAAUCAUGUAGUGUUUUACCCAUUAAUUAGUAAAAAAUAACUUUACUAAAAAAUCUAAGUCAAACAAAACUCAAUAAAACUAGGCUAAAAAAUCAUUCGUCCAACAAUAAUCAAGGUCAAAUGGGGCCAUAGCAAAAACUCUUUUUUUUCGUUUCACUCGUUCCCAUUGCUUGAUAUCUACCAUCAUCAAAACUAAAAUCAAGUUUGUUACGAUGCAGAUUUUGAGCCAAACAGGGCAUACUCAGUAAACAUUUACGUCAAUAAAAAAAAGGUCCCAUACUAGAACUUCCUUGUCCCAAUUCCCACCUCAUGCAUUCAAUUGUCAAUUUAAAGCUUUUAAUCUCUUCACAUGAGUCAUGACAAACAUUCCCUAAAUCCGGGCGCGUUCCAAGUAAAUUAUUUCACAACACACUGAUAUCUUCUCACCCUUUGGCUUCUUCAUUCUCAUCUUCACGCACAUCAUGGUGCCGUGAUCGCAAAAUAAGAUCUACUUUGGGCCAAAUAAUAUAAUCAAAACCAUUCAUUCUGUAAUAUUCACUUGAUAGAUUAUUCAAAAAAACAAGUUUGAUCACUGUUGAUAGUCAUAUGAUAAGACUACAUUUUUCUUGAACAAAUAGAAUGAAAAUAUAAUUUUGGACAAAUGUGAUCUCUCCGAUAAUGCGACUACGAUGUAAGAUCAAUAUGUUCUUUAUUAAUAAACAUUUUUAAUAAACUCUACAAAAUAAACAUUUUUCAUAACAUCAUUCAACCCAAAAUGAAUUCCACAAUGUUUGCCUAUGUCCCAUCCUCAUCACAAUUCUAUAAAUUUGGGGGCCUAUGCUUACCCUUUGAAUUGGGUAUAAUCAAAACCGUUUAUUUUUUAGGUAUCGUUGAAUAAAUUAUUCAUGAAAAACUCAGAUUGAUUGUACAUCAAUAACUCCGAAAUUGAAUCGCAUUUCUCUUGAAUAAAUGAACAAAAAGUAUGAUUUUGAUAAUAAAACUAAUUGAUCCGAUUUCUAAUAUAUUUAAUUUCUUCUACAACUAUUCUACUCCAUAAGAUCUACAAAAUCAACGACUCGAAUCAUACAUUAUGAUGAAGGAUAAAAUCCCCGCCUAAUAAGGUUAUAUCCAUGAAAUGUAUUUAAGCCAAGGUGAACAUAUUGCCACAGUAUCUGCAGAAAAUCAUGUCACCAAUGUCUCUCAAGGUCGCCAUUUAGUGUAUUCAGGCUUCUUGAAAUAACAUCCAUGCCUCCCACCUCCCACCCAACGUCUCUAAAUCGCCAACUCCAAAGUUGCUCACCUCGCCACCACCUUUAGGUCAAGGUAAACUUAAGGCUCCAUCCUCGUUAGCCCCCUACAGCUAUAGUAUCAACUCCAUUUGGCAUCCACCAACCAAUAAGCCAAGUCCUCGGACACGGCUUUCUUAUUUGACCACCAGAUGAUUGCACCGUGAUCUUCUUACAGGUUUGCAAACUCUCCAUCUAUAAAAGGCCACUCACCGUCCACUAGAGAGGGUAACCACAUUUUCACUCUUUUGAUUCUUAAUCAUACUGUAUCUAUGUUGAACUUUAUCUAACGAAUUCAUCCCGGUCUCAUCUCCACACCAGAGGGGUUUUUAGCGGUUUCACCCACACCAGUGACUUUUGCUUCCUUGCACAGGUCGCCGAAAUCAGCACCGAACUUCCUGAGCAAUUCUGACUAGCCCAACUUAAAAAUUAAUAGCACCUAUGAUAACACUUUUCCUGGAGUGUCUUAAGCAACCAAUCAAUAUAACAAGAAAAAAAGAAUAUUACAAGUCGUAUUGCCUAGAAAUUGUUAUAUUUAUUAAUUAAGUCAUAUUUCUUAACCAAAAAAUAAAUUAAGUCAUAUUAAAACGGAAUUGUUUUUGGAUUUUUUUGCUUUAGAAACUUUAUUUUACAACUUUUGGUUAGAUUUUAUUUUUAUUUUUCUAGUUCCUCUUAAUUAGAGAAAUAAAAAAUGAAAAAAAAACAAUCUUUUGUUUACAAAAAAAAAAAAAGCAUUUUGGAAUUGAUUUAGAUUUUAGUCGCUUUCUAUAAAAAAAAAUUAUUUUAUGAUUUUAAAGACGAGCGAAAAGUAGAAACAAUAAAGAAGAAAAUUAAUGAAAUUCAUUAGAACCAAAAAUGAUCCAACAUUUUUUAUUGGAAAUAUUAAAAAAAAGACAUCAGGGGUUGAUCUCAGCAACAUAUUAAACCCUCUAAUUUCAAUUAUAAAAAAUUAAACCUUAAAAUUUGGAUCUUGUAAUAAUAAAACACUCUAUUGGUCUUUAUUUCAUUAGGAUUGGCAUAACCAACUAAUUCUUGCAAAAAAAAUAAACUUGAAAAAUGAUGACUCUGUUUGGUUCAGAUUUAAGAAUCGGUUUUGUAGUAUAAUUUUUAAAAAUAUUAUUUGUUAAUGGUUUUGAAAACUUUUUUUCUGAAUUGUUUUUUAAAAAAUAUUUUUUUAAAAAAAAUUAAAAAGAUGUCUUCAAAUUAUUAAAAUUGUUAUCACUAAAAGAUGAAUAAUAUGUGAAAAAAAUGAAUAGUUUUGUUCUAAAAAGAAGUUAAGAAAAAAUAUUAUAAAAAAUUAAAUUUAAAAACUCUACCAAACAGAGUCAACAUCUUUCAAAGUUAUUAGAUUUUAAAAUCCUCAAUAAUUGCAAUUAGAGCUCAUUUUUAAUUUAAAAUCGAUGCAAUUAAGAUUUAUUUUUAUGUUAAAUAUUCAAGUUAUUUUUUAAAAUUUUGCUUGAAAGUGAACCCUAAUUGCAUCGAUUAAAGAAUAAUAAUAUUGAAAGAUGUCACUUUUUUAAUUUUUUAGUAGGAAAUAGUCGAUUCUGUCAACCCUAAUGAAAUGAAAAGUUGCGAAAGGUUCUAAUUGUAACCAAAUCAAUUUUUUACAAUUUCAUUUGUUACAAAUAAAAUUAUAGAGCCUAAUUUUUUACUGAGCUCAAACCUUGGGAUUUUGUUAUAGUUUCUUCAAUUUUAUUUUAGAGAAAAUUACAAUAGGAUCCUAGUACUUAUUUUAAUAAAAAAAAUAUGAUAAUUAAUUACUUCCGAGAAAGUCCAUUUUGAGUACCUACCUACCUACCAACCUCAAUCAAAAACUUAAGUAGACAAACUUACAAUAAAAAAAUUAAAUAAUAAAUAAUAAAUUAUCAAUAUGAUUUUUUAUAUUGAUCAAUAAUCAACUUUUAAAUUAUCGUAUGGAUAAAAUUAUAAUUACACAAGAUAACAAAUAAUAAAUUGUCAAAAAAAUCUAAAAGAGAAAAUGAGAAAUUAUCAGCUAAACAAGAGAAUAUCUCAAAUAUUACUUCAUAUGAUAAAUAAGAGAAGUUCUCAAAUACUAAGUUAGUGCAAAUUGACAUAAACAUACAAUUUCAAGUGAAACAAAAAUAUUGAGAAAAUAUCAAAUCAAUUUUUUACAUAAUAAAUAAAAGAAGUUCUUAAACAUUUACUUUGCGCAAAUUGAGAAAAUAUCGCAUAUAAUAUAAUUAAUUCACAACUACUGAGAAAUAAUCAACUUUUAAAUUGGUUAAAAAACUUUUGUGAAUACAAUUCUGGAUUCAGAUUUUAUGUUUAUAUAUGUUACUCUAUUUAAGAUGGAGCCAAAAAUACUGUUUUUCACUUAUCAAUAAAAAAACAUUUCGGUCAUAAAAGAAAAUAUUGAUAAUUUCAUAAUUGUUUUCUUAAGUAUUGUUUCCGUGUAAAAAUAUAAAUUAAUAAUUGACGAUAAGCUCCCGGUUGUUGGAAUUGAUAUUAAUAAUUUUAAGUUCAUUAAAAUUGUAUUUUAAGUAGAAUUUUUAAAUAUUAGACUUUAUGGAAUACAAAUUAAGAGUGUUAUUUUAUGUCUAUAAGUUGAUAUAUUUAAAUUGGAGCCAAAAAUACCCUAUAUUUUGUCCCAAUUUGGUGGAAGUUCUAAACCUGGCUGGUUGGUUUGUAUUUUCGUAAAAUGGCAAACCAAAAGAGGGGAUAAAAUAAAAAAUAAAGGGUUAAUUGGAUUUUAUCCCUCUACACUAUUGGCCUAUAUCACUUAACUAUUGUUCCCUUUAAUUAUUAAAAGUUGUCACUUUAAUACUUCAGUUAAUCGUCAUUAAACAUAAAAUGUUAUAUUACCAUGUGAGCAACUCAUGGGCAAAAAAAAUAAAAUAAAAUUCAAAAUAUAGCUUUAUUAUUUGUAAUUAACCAUUUUUAAGACCGAAACACUCAAAUAUUACCAUAUAGAAAAGGGCAACGAAAUAGAAAAUAUGAUAUCUCUAUAUAAUAUUAUCUUAAAAAUGAUUAAUUCCAAGAAAAAUAUGAUUAUUUUAAGAAUUUGUUUUGUUUUUAUGUCCAAGAACUAUUCACACAGCAAUUUAAUAUUUUAUAUUUAAAAUGAUAAUUUUUAAUAGUUUAAGGGUGUAAAUUGAAUGAGUUUUUAGUUUACGAGGUCACGUGACACUAAAUAAUAGUUUAGGGGUUAAAAAAAAUAAAACAUAUACUGUAGCAGUGUUGCAAGAAUCGACCUUUCGCAAUGCAAAGCGAGAAUCAUACAAAUAACCAAACACCCACACGAUUACUUUUGGUCUCUGAGCUUUAAUAAAACUUAAUUGUUUAAAAAAAAGAAGGAAUAUAAAUAUACAAAAAAUGUCUUUGGAUAUUAAUUCAAUAUUUCAAUGCCAUAUACAUCUGUAAACAAAUUUUUUUUUGAGAGGAUUAUUAAGAGAGAAGGGAACACAAGUUUAUCGUUAUAAUUAAUCUGUGUUUGGUGGCGCAUUUAUAUUCAAUUUAAAGGGGAGAAAUAAAACACAAACAAAUAUACGAAUCACUCUAAUAAGUGCAGACACUAUUUGGUACUCUCCUGUCCCAUAUUAAAAUUUUAGUAUUUUACUUUAGAAUGUUUAAAAAUGUAUGUCCAAUCCAAAAGGUCAAUAAAAAAAUAGACAAUUUUUUUUAUUUUACCAUUUCUUUUAUGUAUUAUUUGCGUGUCAUUUCAACUAAAACAAAGAUCAAAUGUAAUGAUUGCAGCAAUAAAAUUGAAAUAAAAAAAUAAAAAAUAAAUAUAAUGAUUGUGCUCUCUUCUCUUAAAAAGUUAAAUUUCUUGAAAAUGAACUUUAAUGUUGAAGGGAGUGUAACUUGGGCUGGAUCAAUCUAAGAAACCUGAUCUCGGUCCAAAACGUUUUAGAAUUUGGACAAUAUCAAUUGGAAGAGCAAAAAUUUUAGAGCCCAAAUUAAAAUUGGGUUGGCUUGGGCAAAAGUACUAGAAAAUUCGAAAAUAACCAGGGGCCCGAAUUUUAUUGUGCUAUAUGUAUAAUUAUAUAUGCAAUAAAUAAUAUAUGUGCAUAUCAUUCUAAUAUUUAUUGAUUAAUUUUCACAAAUUUGAAUUAUAAAUAUAAUUUACGAGUAACUGUUGUUAUUUAAUCGUCUAAAUAGCAGUCAUGUCAAAAUAAUUUUUUAAAGAAUUUUCAUCUAGAUUUUUGGAUAACCUAGGCCAACUUGAAUUAAAUAGAUAAAGCAAGGGUUGGACUUGGGUAAAAAUAUUUCUAGCCCGUUACUAGACUUGGAUGGGCUCAUGCCGGUAAGCUUUGGUACAUUAUGGGCUAGUCUUUGGCAAACCCUUGAUCCAUCCGAACCCGCCUGAAAUGCAACCCUUAAACAAACAAAGAGAGUAGCUAAUAAGAUUGAAAGGGAGUACUAUUUUUCUUUUCUUUUUGGACCUUGUUAGUUCAAUGAGGCUAAUGAUAUUGCCUUGCAUAUAUAUAACAGAUGAGAUUUUUUUGGUUUAGAACUCUCAUAUAAUCCUUCAAUAUCCAUAAAUACAUGGUGGACUGGAGUCCACUAACCCCAUUAAAGCUUGGCUAUUUUUCUACUCUUUGAAGCAUGCUUUUUAUGUUGUACCCGCAGUUUGAUUUGGAGGAAAGAGUGGAAAAUGCAAGAAUAUAUAUAUAAAGUUUUAUUUUCUUGUAAAAGUUAACCAGCACUUAUUUUCUUUUCACCACCUUAUGGGAACUCUAAGAACUAAUUUUUUUUUUUUUUUACAGCUUUCUCACAAAAUCUCAUUUUACCCAUGGGUAAAAGAAAAUAAAUUAUCCUUUCUCUUUCUUACUUUUGAUCCACUUUUUAUUAUUUUUACUUUUUAUUGUAACUUUUGCUUUAAUCAAACAGACUGCUUUAAUCUUAUUUUAAGAAGGAAAAGUCUAUUUAUACAACAAAUGACUAAAAAAUGUAUCUUUUCGUACAUAAAAUAACAAUAAAGCACAUAUAUAGCAAAGUGUUGGCAUCACAACAGUCAUUAUGUAUGAAGCCUCCACUUGUUGAAGAUGAAUCUAGUGAUUUUUUUUUUUGUGUGUGUGUAUUUCAUUAGUGUGAUGCAUUUUGUAUUCAUCAAUUUAUUU